rnacentral:lncRNA from 1 species
AGUUCUUCCCGGCCGCCGCCGCCUCCGCCCCGCCGCUUCCUCCUCCGCCUGCCGGCCUCCUUCGCCCCGCCCCGUCCGCGCAGCUCGUCCGGCCCGCCCGCAGGCCAGCUUCUCUCGGGAGCCUCCACCCAGGCGCAUGGCUCCAUGAAGCAAGAGGAGGAGGCAGAGCGCGAGAGAUCCCGUCCGCCCCAGCCGCGUCUGGGCCAGGAGAAAAGCAAAACCAUAUUCCUGCUGCUGUCAGUUUUGAUGCACUGAGAAAACUUCAGAGACCUAAGCUUUUUCCAGAGAAGAGAAGCUUUACUGGUGUUCCAGCCCUAAGGCUCAUAUGACAUUAACAGACAAGACACUUUUCAGAAAGACAGGCAACGUGUUGGACCUUCCGGAGCUUCUCAGAAGACAGAGGGUUUUCUUUUGAGGCUGUUGUACAGUGGCCUGAUUAUAGCUCACUGUAGCCUCGAAAUUCUGGGCCGAAAUGAUCCGCCUGCCUCAGCCUCCAAAGUAGCUGAGACUACAGGCUGGUCUUGAACUCUUGGGCUGAAGAGAUUCUCCCACCUCAGCCUCCCAAGGUGUUGAGAUUACAAGCAUGAGCCACCUCACCUGGCCAAGAGCUAGUUGUUAAA